rnacentral:rRNA from 1 species
GACAGAGGGUGCAAACGUUGUUCGGAAUUACUGGGCGUAAAGGGCUCGUAGGCGGCCAACUAAGUCGGAUGUGAAAUCCCCAGGCUUAACCUGGGAACUGCAUCCGAUACUGGAUGGCUUGAAUCCGGGAGAGGGAUGCAGAAUUCCAGGUGUAGCGGUGAAAUGCGUAGAUAUCAGGAGGAACACCGGUGGCGAAGGCGGGUCUCUGGGCCGAUACUGACGCUGAGGAGCGAAAGCGUGGGGAGCGAACAGG